CUCAGGAAAGAAGGGAAGAAGGAGGGUUUAACGUUUCGAGUGGAGCUCUUCGUCGGAAACAUAAGAGAAGGAAAGAUCCCGAGAAGGGAAGACAGAGGAAAAAAAUGGCCAGUGGUACUCAUGAGGUCACAUACUGCAUAUAUAUAUAUAUAUAUAUA